rnacentral:tRNA from 3 species
GGGCGAUUAGCUCAGCUGGGAGAGCGCAGCGUUCGCAACGCUGAGGUCGUGGGUUCGAUCCCCAUAUCGUCCACCA